rnacentral:rRNA from 1 species
AGUGAAUAGAUACCCGGGUAGUCCCAGCUGUAAACGAUGCGCGUUAGGUGUAUCGGUGACCACGAGUCACCGAGGUGCCGAAAGGGAAACCGUGAAACGUGCCGCCUGGGAAGUACGGUCGCAAGGCUGAAACUUAAAGGAAUUGGCGGGGGAGCACCACAACAGGUGGAGCCUGCGGUUUAAAUCGGACUCAACGCCGGGAAGCUCACCGGAUAAGACAGCUGAAUGAUAGCCGGGUUGAAGACUCUGCUUGACUAGCUGAGAGGAGGUGCAUGGCCGUCGUCAGUUCGUACUGUGAAGCAUCCUGUUAAGUCAGGCAACGAGCGAGACCCACGCCAACAGUUGCCAGCAUGUCCUCCGGGAUGGUGGGGACACUGUUGGGACCGCCUCUGCUAAAGAGGAGGAAGGAAUGGGCAACGGUAGGUCAGCAUGCCCCGAAUUAUCCGGGCUACACGCGGGCUACAAUGGUCAGGACAAUGGGUAUCAACACCGAAAGGUGAAGGCAAUCUCCUAAACCUGUCCUUAGUUCGGAUUGU